rnacentral:rRNA from 1 species
UACCAGACUCCUACGGGAGGCAGCAGUGGGGAAUAUUGCACAAUGGGGGAAACCCUGAUGCAGCGACGCCGCGUGAGUGAAGAAGUAUUUCGGUAUGUAAAGCUCUAUCAGCAGGGAAGAAAGUGACGGUACCUGACCAAGAAGCCCCGGCUAACUACGUGCCAGCAGCCGCGGUAAUACGUAGGGGGCAAGCGUUAUCCGGAUUUACUGGGUGUAAAGGGAGCGUAGACGGCUGAGCAAGUCAGAAGUGAAAGCCCGGGGCUCAACCCCGGGACUGCUUUUGAAACUGCGGAGCUGGAGUGCAGGAGAGGUAAGCGGAAUUCCUGGUGUAGCGGUGAAAUGCGUAGAUAUCAGGAGGAACACCAGUGGCGAAGGCGGCUUACUGGACUGUAACUGACGUUGAGGCUCGAAAGCGUGGGGAGCAAACAGGAUUAGAUACCCCUGUA